GUUCUAUCUGUGUUUCUUCCUCUCUGUAGACUUCGGCAGUUUUGCUCGCUGCGUAGCCACGAAAGGGUUCGAUUUAGCUUCAAAUAUCGAUCUGCACCUCCGCUUUGAUGGCAUUUUUUCUUUCCUAUAGUGCCCCCGCCACUCUUUGAAAAUUCCACCUAAAAGGAAAAAACGAUCCACCCCAAAUAUUGGGUUUUAUUCUCACGUGUACAAUUACUACCCAGACGGCUUAGGGGCGGCUCUCCGCCGAGAGCCGUUCGACUUCAACGCCGAGCCACCUUGGGAUCCUAGCUGAUAGUGGGGGAGCUCCAUCUCCUAACUCGUCCAUUUUGCUGCAUACUAUCUAAGGGCUCAGAGAGGGACCACUUCACCCAGGGGCUCAGAGAGAGACCACUUCACCCAGGGGCUCAGAGAGAGACCACUUCACCCAGGGGCUCAGAGAGAGACCACUUCACCCAGGGGCUCAGAGAGCGACCACUUCACCCAGGGGCUCAGAGAGCGACCACUUCACCCAGGGGCUCAGAGAGCGACCACUUCACCCAGGGGCUCAGAGAGCGACCACUUCACCCAGGGGCUCAGAGAGCGACCACUUCACCCAGGGGCUCAGAGAGCGACCACUUCACCCAGGGGCUCAGAGAGCGACCACUUCACCCAGGGGCUCAGAGAGAGACCACUUCACCCAGGGGCUCAGAGAGAGACCACUUCACCCAGGGGCUCAGAGAGAGACCACUUCACCCAGGGGCUCAGAGAGAGACCACUUCACCCAGGGGCUCAGAGAGAGACCACUUCACCCAGGGGCUCAGAGAGAGACCACUUCACCCAGGGGCUCAGAGAGAGACCACUUCACCCAGGGGCUCAGAGAGAGACCACUUCACC